GUGGGGAAUAUUGGACAAUGGGCGAAAGCCUGAUCCAGCCAUGCCGCGUGUGUGAAGAAGGUCUUCGGAUUGUAAAGCACUUUAAGUUGGGAGGAAGGGCAGUAAGUUAAUACCUUGCUGUUUUGACGUUACCGACAGAAUAAGCACCGGCUAACUUCGUGCCAGCAGCCGCGGUAAUACGAAGGGGGCGAGCGUUAUUCGGAAUCACUGGGCGUAAAGCGUGCGUAGGCGGUUUUGUAAGUUAGGAGUGAAAGACCAGGGCUCAACCUUGGAAUUGCUCUUAAAACUGCAAGGCUCGAAUCUCGGAGAGGAUAGCGGAAUUUCCAGUGUAGCAGUGAAAUGCGUAGAUAUUGGAAGGAACACCAGUGGCGUAAGCGGCUAUCUGGACGAGUAUUGACGCUGAGGCACGAAAGCGUGGGGAUCAAACAGGAUUAGAAACCCCAGUAGUCC
rnacentral:rRNA from 1 species